GACGAACGCUGGCGGCGUGCCUAAUACAUGCAGGUCGAACGCACAGUUUAUACCGUAGCUUGCUACACCAUAGACUGUGAGUUGCGAACGGGUGAGUAACGCGUAGGUAACCUGCCUGGUAGCGGGGGAUAACUAUUGGAAACGAUAGCUAAUACCGCAUAAUAUUAAUUAUUGCAUGAUAAUUAAUUGAAAGGUGCAAUUGCACCACUACCAGAUGGACCUGCGUUGUAUUAGCUAGUAGGUGAGGUAACGGCUCACCUAGGCGACGAUACAUAGCCGACCUGAGAGGGUGAUCGGCCACACUGGGACUGAGACACGGCCCAGACUCCUACGGGAGGCAGCAGUAGGGAAUCUUCGGCAAUGGACGAAAGUCUGACCGAGCAACGCCGCGUGAGUGAAGAAGGGUUUCGGAUCGUAAAGCUCUGUUGUAAGAGAAGAACGGGUGUGAGAGUGGAAAGUUCACACUGUGACGGUAUCUUACCAGAAAGGGACGGCUAACUACGUG
rnacentral:rRNA from 1 species